CUUCACCGAACCCAGCAGCAGCGGCGUAUCACGGUCGCGGCCGUAGGUCGCCAGCAGCGCCUGUGCCUC
rnacentral:sRNA from 2 species